GAUGAACGCUGACAGAGUGCUUAACACAUGCAAGUCAAGUGGCGGACGGGUGAGUUACGCGUAAAGAACUUGCCUCCCGGUAAGGGACAACAUUUGGAAACGAAUGCUAAUAACUGAUACUGUGAGAGAGCUUUCCGUCCCUUUAGCUAGUUGGAGAGGUAAGGGCCCACCAAGGCGAUGAUGGGUAGCCGGUCUGAGAGGGUGAACGGCAAGAAUGGGAUUGAGACACGGCCCAUACUCCUACGGGAGGCAGCAGUGGGGAAUGUUGGACAAUGGACCAAGGUCGUAUCAAGCAAGUCGGGGUGCAGGAUGAAGUUUUCGGUAUUUAAAGUGCUUUAAGUUGGGAAGCUACGACUAAAGAAUAAGCACCGGCUAACUACGUGCCAGCAGCCGCGGUAAUUC
rnacentral:rRNA from 1 species